GAAUUUUAUUUUUUAAUUAAAAAGUUAAAAUAAAAUUAAAGGACGAGAAGACCCUAUAGAUCUUUAUUUUUGUUAUUUAUAAAUUAAAAAGAAUUUUAAAAUUUAUAAUUUAAUAAAAAAUUUUAUUGGGGUGAUAUUAAAAUUUAAAAAACUUUUAAAAUUUAUUAACAUAAAUAUAUGAAUAAAUGAUCCAGUUUUAUUGAUUAAAAAUUUAAGUUACCUUAGGGAUAACAGCGUAAUUUUUUUUUAGAGUUCAUAUCGACAAAAAAGAUUGCGACCUCGAUGUUGGAUUAAGAGUUAUUUUUAGGUGUAGAAGUUUAAAGUUUAGGUCUGUUCGACCUUUGAAUUCUUACAUGAUCUGAGUU
rnacentral:rRNA from 1 species